UGCGUAGGCGGGCUAUUAAGUCAGUGGUGAAAUCCUGCAGCUUAACUGUAGAAUUGCCAUUGAUACUGAUGGUCUUGAGUACACUUGAGGUGGGCGGAAUGUGUCAUGUAGCGGUGAAAUGCUUAGAUAUGACACAGAACACCGAUUGCGAAGGCAGCUCACUAAAUUGUAACUGACGCUGAGGCACGAAAGCGUGGGGAUCAAACA
rnacentral:rRNA from 1 species